GUUAAUCAAUGGGCGGUGGUAGAGACGGUGGCUGAAACGGUGGAGACGAGACUAUCAACGCCACAAAUGUUACGGCCUUUGCAGAUUUUGUAGAAACCAUUCUCACCCCAAGACUCUCCCCAUGAGUUCUUGAUGAUCCAGUAAGGCUUCUCCUUGAACCUAGCCGGAGCAUAACCGGCCGAGCCAUAACCCACCAAUAAGACACCGUGGUUGAGCCUCCUGGCGCAUAUGUAAGGGCACGAGACUCCUCCAAUGUAAGUCUGCAUAUAGGCCGCGUUGAUGGCUACUGCAAGUGGUCCGUUUUUGACAAGGUUUGCAGCAAUCUGGUCUUCAUCAAUGGAGAUAACACUGAAGUUGGAGACAGAGGCAACGAUCUUGGACUU
rnacentral:lncRNA from 1 species